ensembl:lncRNA
UCUAGAAGCAUUUGUCUCUGGAACAAUUACUUUAACAUGGUUACAAAUACAGACUUUAGCUCAAACACAGAAGAGAGAUCUACUUAGCAACGCUCCUUUUACCCAUCAAACAACACACAAAUAGAAACUUUAACACCACAGUUAGAGACUAGCAGAGAAAAUCCCAGGCUUGGAAUACAAAAUUAAAAAAAAAAAAAUCAACCCAAAUCAAAAGCCAAACUAGAAAGAAAACCUAAAGACAACAACAAAGGCAGGAAAGGAAGGCAGGAAGGCAGGAGAAAGCACAGCAACACACCACGGCGCCAGGUACAUAGGUAACCUAGAAGAACUAACUGUACAGAGAAAGAACUCAGCAUACAUUUAAUAACAGUCCUUGGAAUAUUUGGUCAUAUGGUCAUCAACUAGUGAUUCUUGAAGCGAAGUCAGAUUCUGUAGCGCUGUUAGUAUCGACUGGAGCAAUGCACAAGGGAGGCUUGGAUGGCAAGGGAAGAAGCAGGCUUCGAGUGGUGCGGCCCUCUUUGCACUUGACUGUCAGUGUUUCAGAGAGAAUGGAGAGCUGGGAGUGUCUAUCCCUUUCCACUUAGCUGGAGUUAGAGCCGAAAGCAGUGUUCUCAACCGUCAACGGUGGCCACUGGCAAAUUUCGGUACUCGAUGUUGUCCAGUUACCCAUGCACACACACACACUCUAGGACACCUGCUCACUAGUGGUGCAACGGCAGCAGAGGCAGUCCCAUCCUUCCCUUCACUAGGUACUGGAGACCUCAUCACCUAAUACUGAAUGUCCACCAGGAGGGGGUUCCCCCAAUGGAGGCUUAACCUGCCUAGGGGACUUUCAAGGCUCAGCCCUGGUCAACCCUGAGUGAAACUUAUUUCCUCUCUUUAGGUGGACCGAGCCCCUGGAAGAAGGAACACUGUCUCGAAGGAAGGUUUUUUUGGCCCUGUCGACUCUGCUUUGGAAGAACAAGCUUUUGAUUUUAAGGAUCAAAAAGAAUUCUAUAGCUAAAUUCUCUCAGGCAGGUAUUGCGAAUUCAGAACUCGUGUUCAUCAAAAGCAAUACACCUGGCAGGGGCAGACUAUAAGGUGAUAGGAUACCUCUGUACUUAAAGGUGGCUCCUGGGUUACUGGUGCUCCAGCAGGGCCUUGUGUUUCUGCACAGGAUGGCUGCCAGCUUUAGAAACCUAAAGGGCUCCUCCCCCACCCCAUGCUUUCCAUCCCCAGCCCGUGGGGUUAGCUUUGUUCGUCCAGAAAAAUAGCCGGUAGCCUCCCCAAUUGUUGCAAUGAUGCUCAAGUCUUACACAAGUUGACCUGUUGCAUCUCAAGCCAGAGUUGGAAGCAAAAUCCCACAAUGGUCAAGAAGAUAGCUUGGGCAUCUGGGACCCAGGAUUCGGGUAGCAGGGAAAGUGGGCCUCUCCAAUAUCUUCAAGCCCAGUCCAGGCAUCGCCUGGUGUUCCACCCUCUUCCAUCCCCAACCCCAAACAAAACUGCUGAGUACUCCCAAAUUUAAAGCCCCAUGAGGGCAGAGAGGUGGAGUGCAAAAACUGGCUGGUGCUUGGAGCCUGCCUUCACUUAGCACUGGGAGCCCUAGAAAAGAGUGAGAAGCACUAAAGCAGAACCCCCGAUCUGCUUGAACAGACAAAGUGACCAGCAGGCAGAUUUGUAGGUUUUUUCCACUUUUAUUUUCCCUUGACCUAUGCUAUGGAUAAUCAGGAAUAUUGUAAAUAAGCAACAGGUAUAAUUCCAACAGACCUUUUUUGUGGAGCUACAAGCAAAAUGAGUUUAUAAUGCAAUAUACAGAUAUAUAAAAACUAGACUGCUUUUUAUGUCUAGUUGGUGCAUUAAAAAAAAAAAAAAAGGGAUGGAGAAGAACAGAAUUAAAAUUGAAAAACAAAAUCCCAGAAUAAAAAGAGAAAAAUCAGGCCUAUGCUUAGUCUAGGUAUUCUUGGGUAGGAUUGGUUUUACCAGGAAGAGGAGCUUUUCCACUGAACACAGAGGAUUAAGGCCUUCCGGCAGGAGCUCAAUUUCCUUAGCUUUCCGUCUUGUGCCUUCUGGGCAUUCUGGACAUGGUUUGGUACAUACUCGGUCUUUUCCAAAUCAUUCAGGUUUUAUUUAGCUCCCCGGGGUCCUCAGGCCUGAUUUUGCAAUGUUGUUUUGCUGCUUGAUCCAGCAGAGAAAGGGGAUUUGGGUGGCAGGGACCACAGGGAAGAUUGAACAGAGGGCUCUAGCUGGUCCUGCUGCUGAUCUAAGGAUAAAUAACUGGCAUCUAGGCUCCCACCCCUCUCUGCCCCCAGACUAUUACCUCGGCUCAAGAGCUGGGUCCUGACUACCUCCUGGCAAGGCAGGCAGCUAUCUCACCCUUGCCCCCUAAUUGAGAGACAGAAUGAAAUGCUGGAAGGGACUCAUCCUAACUCCCUCUUUUUACAGAUGAGGAAAUAGGGUCAGAGAAAUGAAGAGACUUGCUCAGGCAAGAACGAGUAGAGAUGGGAUUCAAAUCCCUGGUUUUCUGCCUCCCAAAUUCCAUGUCAAGCCCAUUCAGGAACCGGACUCUGAAUUCAAGAGUCCAGAAAAUGCUAACGAGGGCAACACUCCUUUAACCUGGUGGCAAGUGGCUUUCGUUUCCAAAUGGUCGGAGUGCCUAAGAUAGUGGAAGCCUCAGUAGAACAUUUCAGGCUCCAGAGCCCUGUACCCCUUGCCCCAAUCCCCAGUGACCAAUCUGACAGCAAGGACUUGGUUUGACUCCUCCUCUGUCUGCUUUGCUCAACUGUCACUUUACAGUUCUAACUCCAAAUUACUGCCAGAGUGAGACUUUAGCAAGAUUUGAGUCUUUUGUCCGUUCAGAAACACCCAAGUGCGACUAGUUGAACCAAAAGGUUUCUAGGUUUUGACUCUGGAUUGCAUUUCCUCUUCUCGUGUUCUGAAUGUGACUAGGCCAGGAAUAGAAACUGAGACCAUCCCUCAACCCUGGAGGAGUCAAAAUCUGUACUGUCUCUAAGAAGCAGGCAAUGCUCUUUUUUACAAUGGUACAAGGACACUCUUUGAAAAGAGAAACAAAUACACAAAUGGAGACAUUCAUUGAAUUCUGUUAAAGUGCAAUCAUUGCAGAUGCUGUACUAUCAAUUACCAAAGGUUGGGAGAUGUGGUUGAUGUUGAGAUGGCGAAAGUGCAGUGAUCCCAACAAAAGGUAGGUAGACUCAAUUCUACCCAUCUACUUCUGUGAAUCAGAAACAUGCUACCAAAGUGGGGGGUACUCAGUAAGCACUUCUUUGCUUGUGGAAAGGGCCCAUUUCUGUUCCUAUUUCAAGAACAGUCAGAGGGGUGUUUGGGAUUUCUUACUGUGAUCUUCCCUCCACUCUACAGCCCCAGUAGUAGACUUGAUGGGUGUGUUUCUCUCAACCAAUGGUCUUGGAAAGGAAAUUUGCAUUUAUUGUUCACACAGUGGCCAAGUCCUCUGUUUUGUACUGACUUAGAGUGACUGGGAUUCGGAAAAGAUUUGGUCUGAUCCAUUCAAGUGAUUUCAACAAUAGCCCUUGUCCUUCACACUUCAGGAUUUACCUUUCACUUGAUCGUUUCUAUUUCACAAUUGGGGAAACCAAGGCAUUAAGCCAUUGCAAACUAACCAGAAACCUUUAGUUAUACCAAACUCAAGUUGGUAAAUCAAAGGUAGUGUGAAAUAGGCUGCUAUUAGGCUGGCCUUAAGAGUCAAGAAGACCAGAUUGGGAUUCAAAUUCUACCUUGAACAUUAGCUGUGAUCCUGGGCAAGUCACUGCAUCUCUAUGCCUGUUUCCUCAUGUGAAGAAUGAGGAGGUUGGACUCUAUGGUCUCUAAGGCUAUGAUCCUGUGAUCACUAGACACCGAGUUGUGGCUACCACUUUCUCCUCUGGUCAGUUGGAUCCUACUUUUGCUACCAUGGAUCGUGUAAGUUCAUAUUCUCUGCUUUCCUAGGCUUUAGUAAUUUCCGAUACUCCAUUAGGGAACCUCCUUUCCCCACUGACAUCUAUGAGGAUGUGGGGACGAUUCCCCUAAUUUUCACCAUCGAUUAAUCUUUAGUCCAAGAACACACAACUUCUAAGUCUGGAACAUCAGGACAUCUAGACUUGCCUCAAGAACACCUUUCUAUUUCAGCCUCGUAGAGCCCUGGGGCUCACAUAUGCUAUGGAUGGUUCUGGAUUCAUGGACUGCAUUGGGAUCUUUAACCUCCUUGGACUCUAAGACUGUAAGCUGAGAGGCCCUCCUUGAUUCUUUUUGUGUCACUUCCUGAGGAUAUGAGAUAACCAAGUGCUCAGGCAGACCUCCUGCCCAAAUAUAUAAUGGAGUGUUUAAAAAAAUCACUAGUCUGUCUGUGUGAAUGCUCCUCCUUACCCACUGGGCAGAGAGAGGAGUGCUGGAGUGCAACAUCGAGUGGCUAAAGGUGAACCCAGUGAGAAAAAUGAGGCUGAAAAUGUUCAAUUAUGUCCUCUACCCCAAGACAUGUGAAGGUCACCAGUAUUCACCAAUGCUUAGUAUAGGCAUUAAGAGAGGCUGCCCAAUCAUCUUGAAUGUUCAAAUAUCUACAGUGUAAGCUACACUGCUAACCAAUGCCAGACACUCUGCUUUUGGCAUUUCAAUGUACAAUGUUUCACAUACUCUUUCUUAUUCCACACUCUGUUUUGUUCAGACUUGUAAAGCACAGACUCUCACAUAUGCUGCUAACUUCCCAGAGAUGACACUGGGAUUCAGGGCAAAAGAUGGAAAGUACUACCCCAGAGCUAGAGAGGAUUUUCAAGCCACAGUGAAAAAUAAAUGCAAGAAGACCAUGCCAAUGGUACAUCAAGGGAGGGAAAAAUCUGCAGCCUCAUUUCAGGGGCUUGACUUAGGCCACUUCUGGCUGGGAAAAGAGGCAAGGUUGGAAGAAAGAGAAAAAAAGGAAAAAAAAAUAACAAAUAUAAAGAGCCCUGGUCACCACUUGCAGCUUUGGAAAUUUCAUUGGAGAAGUGGAGGGAGGUAGGGGGCUGCAGAAGUUGACUCAUCCAGAAGAAAGAUUCUCAUUUUCAAGUGCUGUUAUCUCCCCUGACUAAAAUAGUCUUGCAUGAGGUGUGGCGUGUGCCAGAGAGAGUCCAGUGUGACUCUGUGGGGACCAGAGACUCCUCUUUCCAGGGAACCAAAUAGGGUGGAACAUUGAACUAUCAUUCCCUGAUGAUGGUCCCAAAAGCUCAAUUCUACUGGUCUAAGAAUACUUUAAGUAUAAGCAAAAACCAAACCAGACCAAAACACUAAAAAUAUCCCUUUCCAAUGAUAAAGGGGCUUCAAGAAACAGACUAGUUAAAGUGCACAUGUGGGUGUCCUUUGGAGGCCCAUUAGAAAUCCAUCAUUACAAAAGGACUUAAGGAACACACAAAUCCAGAGCGAGGAGAUUUGGUAGGCUUGGAGCCUUUUCUCCUUAGAGAAGUGGAA